rnacentral:rRNA from 1 species
GACGAACGCUGGCGGCGUGCUUAACACAUGCAAGUCGAACGGAAAGGCCCCGUUGGGGGUACUCGCGUGGCGAACGGGCGAGUAACACAUGAGUAAGCAGCCCUUGACUUCGGGUGAACUACAGGAAAGAGGGGGUAAUACCGGAUAGGAAUGAGUGCCGCAUGGAGGGGGUUGGAAAGCUUUGGUGGUUUUGGGUGGACGCGCGGCUUGUCAGCUUGUUGGUGGGGUAGUGGCUUACCAAGGCAUUGACUGGUAGCCGGCCUGGGAGGGCGGCCGGCCACAUUUGGACCGAGAUACGGCCCAGACUCCCACGGGGGGCAGGAGUGGGGAAUAUUGCCCAAAGGGCGGGAGCCUGAUGCAGCCACGCCGCGGGCGGGAGUACGGCCUUCCGGUUGUAAACCGCUUUCAGCAGGGGCGAAGCUUGUGGUGACGGUACCUGCAGAAGAAGCACCGGCUAACUACGUG